rnacentral:rRNA from 1 species
CGUAUACGCUCUAGGUGCGCUACAACUCACAAUGAGUUAAUAGUAACGCCCCGGGAAUGCGAGGUAACAUAUUUAUCGUUACCCAUCUUCCCUUCUAUAACCAUUUAUAAUAUAUAAUAUAAAGGUUAUUUUUACUUUCAUUUCGCCUUUAGGUUUAUCAAGUCCCAAUGACUUGCGUAUAUGCUAGACUCCUUGGUCCGUGUUUCAAGACGGGUCCCGUGAUUAACCCAAAAUAUAAAUACGCUGUUAACUGAUGAUGAAUACACAUAUAUAAAUAAAUAUAUAUACAUAUUUCAUUAUAUAAAAUCUGUUUAAGAUUUAAGUAACCAACAAUAUAUAUGUAUAUAUGAUAUAGGCAUAUAAUCCAUAAUAAAAUCAUUUAUAAUAACAUUUGUUACUUAUUAAAACGCUUUAAAAGCGAUUCAUCAUCAUUAUAUAUAUCAUUAGGUAGUAGUCGGGUCAUUAAAUGUCCGGGUCAAUAAUACAUUAUAUAUUAUGCCACGGGCUACCAUUAUAUAUGCCUUAGACAACAACUAUUAAAAAAAAUUUAUACCCAAUGAGUUACAGCGCUCUACUUAGGAAGAAGUGCAUACCUCCGGUUAUAAAGACAUAAAUUAUUAUAUAUAUAUAAAAUAUAUAUUUCAUUAAAUAGUGGAGCAUUAUAAAACGCUAUAGUAAUAAAACACCAUAGGUAUAUAGUGUCACAUAUAUAAUAAUUAUAUUUAUAAAAAAUAUAAUAAAUAAUUAUACACUAUAAAAUGGUCAUAACCGGUAAGGCAAUUGAAUCUCCCCUUUCGACUAUAUCGGGAACCAAAGGUUUACCCCUGAACAGUUUCACGUACUAUUGAACUCUCUCUUCAAAGUUCUUUUCAACUUUCCCUCACGGUACUUGUUUACUAUCGGUUUUGCAGUAAUAUUUAGCCUUAGAUGGAGUUUACCACCUACUUAGAGGUGCACUCUCAAGCAACCCGACUCUAAGGAGAAACCCACUAAAAUAUAAAUAAUGGUCACUACGGGCCUGGCACCCUCUAUGGGUAAAUGGCCCCCUUCAAGAAGGACUUGGACUCAUAUAUAUAUAUUUUAGAUAAACGGGCUCUCCCAAACACUACAUUGCCCGACAGUUAUUAACUGUGGGCUUCAGUGCUGGGCUUUUCCCUGUUCGCUCGCCGCUACUUAGGGAAU